UACAGAGGGUGCGAGCGUUAAUCGGAAUUACUGGGCGUAAAGCGCACGUAGGCGGCUUGGUAUGUCGGGUGUGAAAUCCCCGGGCUCAACCUGGGAAUUGCAUUCGAAACUGCGAGGCUAGGGUACGGAAGAGGGAAGCGGAAUUUCUGGUGUAGCGGUGAAAUGCGUAGAUAUCAGAAGGAACAUCAGUGGCGAAAGCGGCUUCCUGGUCCAGUACCGACGUUCAGGCACGAAAGCGUGGGGAGCAAACAGG
rnacentral:rRNA from 1 species